rnacentral:rRNA from 1 species
UACGAAGGGGGCUAGCGUUGCUCGGAAUCACUGGGCGUAAAGCGCACGUAGGCGGAUAUUUAAGUCGGUGGUGAAAUCCUGGAGCUCAACUCCAGAACUGCCUCCGAUACUGAAUGUCUUCGAGUCCGGGGAGAGGUGAGUGGAACUGCGAGUGUAGAGGUGAAAUUCGUAGAUAUUCGCAAGAACACCAGUGGCGAAGGCGGCUCACUGGCCCGAUACUGACGCUGAGGCACGAAAGCGUGGGGAGCAAACAGG